GACGAACGCUGGCGGCGUGCUUAACACACGCAAGUCACGGGGGCCCGCAAGGGCAACCGGCGAACGGGUGCGUAACACGUGAGCAAGCUUCCGAUUAGUGGGGGAUAGCCGGCCCAACGGCCGGGUAAUACCGCAUACGUUCUCUGGACGGCAUCGUCUGGAGAGGAAACCUCCGGGGCUAAUUGAGGCGCUCGCGGCCUAUCAGCUAGUUGGCGGGGUAACGGCCCACCAAGGCGACGACGGGUAGCUGGUCUGAGAGGAUGGCCAGCCACAUUGGGACUGCGACACGGCCCAGACUCCUACGGGAGGCAGCAGUGGGGAAUAUUGCGCAAUGGACGAAAGUCUGACGCAGCGACGCCGCGUGUGGGAUGAAGCUCUUCGGGGUGUAAACCACUGUUGCCCGGGACGAAAUGCCCUUUCGAGGGAAUUGACGGUACCGGGUGAGGAAGCACCGGCUAACUCUGUGCCAGCAGCCGCCGUAAUAC
rnacentral:rRNA from 1 species